rnacentral:rRNA from 1 species
CGAGUGGUUCGGUGGGCCGGCACGUUUACUUUGAACAAAUUUGAGUGCUCAAAGCAGGCCGAUUGUUGCCUGAAAAUUGUGUGCAUGGAAUAAUGGAACAGGACCUUGGUUCUAUUUUGUUGGCUUUUCUGAACUCGAGGUAAUGAUUAACAGGGACAGACGGGGGCAUUCGUAUUGCGACGUUAGAGGUGAAAUUCUUGGAUCGUCGCAAGACGAACCGAUGCGAAAGCGUUUGCCAAGAAUGUUUUCGCUAAUCAAGAACGAAAGUUAGAGGUUCGAAGGCGAUCAGAUACCGCCCUAGUUCUAACCAUAAACGAUGCCAGCCAGCGAUGCGCCGAAGUUCCUCCGAUGACUCGGCGCGCAGCUUCCGGGAAACCAAAGCUUUUGGGUUCCGGGGGAAGUAUGGUUGCAAAGCUGAAACUUAAAGGAAUUGACGGAAGGGCACCACCAGGAGUGGAGCCUGCGGCUUAAUUUG